UACGUAGGGUGCAAGCGUUGUCCGGAAUUAUUGGGCGUAAAGAGCUCGUAGGCGGUUUGUCGCGUCUGCUGUGAAACGCGAGGCUCAACCUCGCGCCUGCAGUGGGUACGGGCAGACUAGAGUGCGGUAGGGAGAUUGGAAUUCCUGGUGUAGCGGUGGAAUGCGCAGAUAUCAGGAGGAACACCGAUGGCGAAGGCAGAUCUCUGGGCCGUAACUGACGCUGAGGAGCGAAAGCGUGGGAGCGAACAGG
rnacentral:rRNA from 1 species